CUGCACAAACUUUCUUAUUAGUACUGUUUUUAAUCUUUUUUUACUUGCAAAUACUCAUCUGACAACACAUGGACACUGAUUUCACUAACAAAGCAAUAAGUUUUCUUUCCAUCCUUGGGUAACUGAGAUGGGACAGGGAAACUGUUCAUCUCAGCUUGAAGGUUUGGAAACAAGCAGGAUGUUUAAACAAACAUUUCUGGGAAUGGUGAGGUAUGAAGGUCCAGGUAAUGGCAUUUGUUGCUGGGAAAUGUUUUUCUACAUCAUAGCAGUUUUAUUUUUAAACCUUAUUUUCCUGCUGAGUGAGGAUAGAUUCAGGGUAAAACUGGUUAGGAGCGUGCACUGGAACCUAAUAUUUUUCUCCUUUAGAGAAGGCGUUAUAGAAAGCUCAGGUUGACCUUUCCAUUUUUUCCAUCCCUCCUCCACUGUUUCAAAGAAAACUAGAAAUAAAAACACUAAUUGCAAUGGUCAUUCUGUAUAUGGUGUAGCUUACUAAGGGUGCAAUUUAAAACAUGGUUAUGUGUUUUUUUUAAAAAAAGCACAUUAAUAUAUGAUAGGUAUUGUAGGUACACAUACAAAUGGUCUCUAUCCAAAGAGAUUUUGAUUAAGGAAUGAAAGCUCAAUAAUAGGAUUUGCAAAAUGCAAGAUAAACUGUAAUCCAACUUUAGUUUUAGGACAGUGCUUCAUCUUGCCACCUAUAAGACUCUUUAUUAUAGGCAUUCUGACCUAUACAUAUCUAUACUAUAUAUAUGUACAUAUAUACUUUAUAUACUUUAUACGAUGUGUAUAUAUAUAUACACAUAUAUACUUUACAUAUAAAGUAUGGUACGACUGUAGUAGGCUGAAAUUGACUUUAGACUAGUCAGUCCUAAACAUAAAUGUUCUGUGUUGCAUUAUAUUGCCUAAAUAUUAAGCUCCUAUCACGUAGUCAAUAUUGCCUCACAUAAGUGGUCCUAUUGCAAGCUAGUGUACUGAAUACUAAAUACAUAGUAAAUUUAUAUGCAUACACAAGUGUGCCUGAACACAUCAGACUGAAAUCUGCUCAUGAGCUGAGCUGUCACACAUCUUGGAGUGUCUGGAGUUCUUUAGGUCAUGCCAUCCAUAUAUGAGUUGUGCACGUGCCAUCCAUGUCCUUCCUGUAUUUGAAUCUGUGCUUGGGAGGAAGUGGAGGCGUGCGUUGACUCGGAAAAUCCUUCAUUCUAGGAAUGUCAAGAGGACCAAACUGUUGUGUGGUCAGUAUUCAUUAGGAAGUCUUGGAACUCUUGAGGUUGCAUUUGUGAAGGUCAGUAGAAGUUUUAAGUUUGGUUUUAGAUGGUCUAGAACUACAAUUACCACAGGAUAUGUUUUCUUUGUGUGCAGGUAACGAUUUCUUUCUCCUUUCUGUCUGAGAAACACUUUCUGUGCACUGCCACUGAUGUGGAACUUCCAUCUUUUUAUACAUCUGUAGACUGGUAGAUGAUUCUGUUUUUUUUGCUUUUGGAUUUGGAAGUGUCAGAUUGUAGGAGACAAAUGGGUAAUUUGUAGUAUUUCCACACUGAAGAGUUUUCCAUUAUCUUUCUAAUGAGAAAAUGGGUUUCUUGCUCUGUUUUCAUCAAAAUAUAUUAAAUAUUCACUUACUAAAAAAGGAAAAAAAAAUUAGCUUCUUGCAAACGUAUGUAAUUUUAUGAAGAGUCACCUUGAGAACAGAAAAACCUUAGUGCCCAAGUAGUGCUACUUAUCCAGUGUCUUUAUUUUAUCAUUUGGUGUGAUCUGUUUUCCUAUCCAAACUAUAGAUGGCAGCAUAAUGCUACGUACUGCCCGUAUCCCUGGCUGCAUCAAAGCGAGGAUGCAUUUGUUGGUUAAAAAGAAAGCAAAACAAAAAUGAGCCGGUGGAAGAGUGAAAUUAGAUGGUUUUAAAAAGCCACUGAGAAUAUGAAUCUCAGUGUCAAACGCUUUGUCCUGCAAAUUGCUUAAUACUCGUGCAACUUCAGCAGAUUAGUGAUGUGAAUGCAGUCCACUGGUUUCUGAUGUUGUCAAAUUGUAUUCAGAUGUGAACUCCAGAAUCAUCCCUUUUGCUUUUGUCUUUUCAUUCCUCAAGUGUAUUGUAUCCCAUGGACUUGAAUUCAAGAUAAAAAUGAGAACAACAGGAAAAAUAACGAACGAAACGUUUCCUGAGGCUUCCCACUUUGUGAUUAUAAUUAAGUUGGAGAGCACAUUGAAGUUUGCCUUGGGGUCUCAGCUAACAGCGCAUUAGCACCUUUUUAGUGUUAUUAAUUAUUACUGCUAUUAGUCCAAUUAAUGUACUCAACUUCUAAGAAAGAAAAGGUCUUCAAAUUAAGAGCUAGCAUGAGGCCUUUUAAAUAUAAAUAGGGACAGAACUAGAUUAUGGCUUAAAAAUGAAGCUACUGUUUUCAAAUCAUAUGAUUCAGCUCUCAGCCUGUCUCUGAUAGCAUCACAAGUCUGUGGUCUGAUGUGCAAAUAGACAAGAACUUUGUUGAAGUAGGCAGUAAUGGGAGAUCAGGUUUGUGAGAGUGCCAAAGAGUGUCUGGUGGUUGGCGACCCUGCCCGUGGCAGGGAGGUUGAAACUUCAUGAUCUUUGAGGUCCUUUUCAACCUGGACCAUUCUAUGACUCUAUGAUCGUUGCCCCAACGUUGAGGAUGGUUCUGCUGCCUCUUUCUUCUUCGCUGGUGGAGUGCCUUCUUCCUAGGCUAUCUUCUUGGAUGCUGCUGAACACAGCAAACACUGCUUUCAAAGAAGCCAAAAGGUGCCAGGUGACACCAGGUGUUUGAUGUGGACACACAGAGCCAUCUGUGCUUUAGAAGAAGAGAUUUGCUGUCACUGGCUUCUUGUAGCAAACACUGCAUUGCUCAGCUGAUGCCAUCUAUCACAUGCCCACUAAGAAGGGGGAAGGAGAAGGAGCUGAGAUAAAGCACAUGCCUGUGUUUAGUUGGUCUGCUGAGAAACUUCAGUAGUAUCAUACGUGCUGCUGUCAGAGGUUGCCAAAUUAAUCAUCAGUGUAUAUGUUGCAGAAGAAUGAAGUUAUAUGAAGGAAUUUCAGGCAAAGAUGGAAACUGUGUAGUUCUUAAUUGUAUGUGUAGAUAAAACACUGAAACACUUUGCCCAGAGUGGCAGUGGAUGCCCCAUCCUUGGAGACACUCAAGGUCAGGCUGGACGGGGCUCAGAGCACCUGAUGGAGCUGUAGGUGUCCCUGCUUAUUGUAGGGGGGCUGGACGAGAUGGCCUUAAGGGUCCCUUCCAACUCAAACAAUUGUAUGAUUCUGUAAACUGAGUAACGCAGAGAUCCUAGCAGUAACUUCUCCUAUUUCCUUUUUCUCCCAUCAGGUUAAAAACACGCAUUAGAUCAUGUAUAUGUGGCAAAAUUUUCUACCAUAAUAGUGAAAUACAAUUGUCUUGUUCUAUAACUCUCCCUAUCGAGCCAGUUACAAACGUGCUUUUAGGGACAUUAAUUUGCUUGACGAAUGACCAACUAAACCAGAAAACAGCUCUUCAUUGGAACAGUAUACUGGUGUAUUCAAAUGCAAAUAUUAAAAUCAAAUGCAGAUGUCAUAAAAGGAAAAUUCCUUUUUUAAAGCUAUUACCUUAUUAAAAAAAAAAAUCAGUUAUCAGGAAUGUGUUUUUCUUAGUAAUAGAAAUAAUCGUGCAUAAUUUCAGUCUCAAAAAUAGCUUGAAUCCUUUAUUUGAGCUGUCAGAAGUUGCUUAUGCUUCAUCUUAAAAUCAAAUGGUUGUUUUAGCACAAUGUUUUUAACACUGCACUAUAAAACUGUGAAAAUAGAGGUUUACAAUGAAACCCCAAUGCAACUAAGCAAUAAAAUGCAACAGAGCAUUAAUCCUUCUUUACUCUUUUCCUCGUCUGUUGAUGUGAAGACCCAGUAUCUGAUCCUAGAAAUAUUCUUUGGUUGUGUUAUGUUAUGGAGCUCUUAAAGAUGGAAAAAUAAAAGGAGGGGAGGAAGAGUCAGUGCUACAACGAAGGCAUUUGCCAUGCAAUUGUUCCAGCACUUUUUGGAGAUGUCCUUAUGGCUGUGGGUUAAUUUACAGGCUCACAAAUUUAGGGAAGCUAUCAAUGUGAAAGCUUAAGUCAGGAAGCCAGCUGCUGCGUGUUGUGAUGUGUGUUGGUUUGUUUCCCAAAGGAGCUGUGAUUUUAGUCUGAGGCUUAGCGAUCCAACUUGUCCUGCUUGGGGGGGUUGGCAUUUUAGUGCUACAACUUAUUGAUGUGCAAAUUCUUCCAGUGGGAAAUGCUAAGAGAAACAUGAUUUCACAUGCAAUCGCAUGAGGAAUCGCAUUGUAGGAAUUGGGUUUUGUAGCCAUCUCCUACAGGUGUCCUGUUGCUUGAAAAUAGCCGUGUCGGUGCUGAAUGCGUCGUUGCUAUCUAUGCCAAGUUUCUCUCUCAAAGCAGUUAUUGGAUUGUGUUCUGCCUUUGCAAAACAACUUGCAGAAACGAGAGGUGUGGUCACUUCGGCUGAAACAUUUUGAAUGCUUGAAAAAAUACUUCAAAAUUCAAUCUAUUCAUAACCAAUGGUGGCUUUAACUUUCCCUUUAAAUGACAAGACAGACUGAGCAUUACUGAUGGAUAAACUUGAUGUUUGUCUGUGCCACGCCAUCCUGUGUGCUCAGAAUUGCUGACUGAAAGAAGUCAACUCCGCCACAAACCCUGCUUCCACAUCAUUAGCUAGCUAAUGAAGGAAAAAAAACCUUUGCAUGGGCUUCCUGCUUUUAAUAAUGCCGUCCUUGCCUUUCCCUUCCUCCCAGUUUGUGACCGGUCAUACAACAGAGGAAUCGUAACUCAAUAUGUGCUGCAGAACUGCUAUGCCACAUCAACAGUCAGCUCGGCUACGUGAGGAGAAAGCCAACUACUGUUUUGUUAGGCGGCUCAGACGUCUGGAGGCUUUCGUACAAGACUGGGAACUCAGCGCAUGGGGAAUGAAUGAAGUUCACAAAAGAAGAGGUCCCCACAGCUGGAGCUGCUUGAGGCACCCUGGCUCACUCCAGCAUGCUCUCCUUCAAAUGCUAAGGAAAAAAAAAACCUACACCUUCCCCAAGGAAUUCGCAGACCUUCCCUGAAGUUUGAAAUGGCUCUCAUUUGCUGUGGCAGUGAGAAGAAGAAGGGGAAGCAAACAGCUGUCUACGAGAGGCAGGUCAGGGGCCUCUAAUCUUCCAUUUUAUACAUACAAGAUUAAAGAUCUGCUUUGAGUUUUGAUUAAGAAUGCAAAGUUAAAAGAUUAAAUACCAGCAAGCCAAAUUAAAGAGGUUUAAGUCAAUCUCGGAACUCAUCAAAGUACCAAAUUUUUAAGCUGUCAUUACAACACAGGAUUAGUGCAAAGCUUCCCUGAACCCUGAUUUGAUGUCCUUCAGUCAACAAUGUUAUUCUCCCCUCAUUUUGUGCUCUUGGCAUAAAACCAGCUAUUGUCUUGUAUUUAAGCUCAUCUCACCUAUGUCCUUCUUUGUCUUUUUUCUGCUUUUUUUUUUUUCCCUGCCCGUGGCCCUGUUAAUCAAGGAACCUGUUUUUUUGUGUGACCUACAGCUUAGCAAUAUACUGUUCUGUAUUAUGCGUUGUCACGAAAUGCGUUAACGCUUAGUAAAUUCGCCUGUUUCAGAAAAAAAAUGCCUUAGUCACCAUGAUUAUUAUAAACUAUUUCUGUGAAUCCCAAGCAGUAAAUAGUUCCUGCAGCCUGCAUGCAUUUCAGCAGAUUGAUUCCAAAAGUUAAAGAAGAGAAAAAAUGUAUUGCAUUCCUAGAUUGAAAUGAGGCUAAUGUGAUCAUCCUAAGGUACCUGAAAAACAGUGUUAAAAGUCUGCAAUUGAUGCUCCAAUGUUUGGGAAAUGGUGAAUCACUCCAGCUGAAAUUAGUGAAGACUUGGGACGUGGAGGGCAGAAGACUGAAGAAUGAUUAAAUCCAGGAAUCUGCUAAUGCAAAUAACCUACUUCGGUAAUAAAUUUUACAAACUGUCGUAAGUGUUAUUUGAAACUCAAGCUGUAAUGCAUUAAAGCAAAUGUUCCCAGGGUUUUCAGUAUAAUAAUUUGGGUCCUUUCCAUUUUUUAUUUAUAGAAGUUGAGACGUCUCAGUUAUAUUAACAUUAUGCUUUCCUCGGUCAUAACCACAAAUGAUAACUUCCGAAUAUUCCCAAAUGCUGAAUUAACGAAAGCCUUAAUUUGAAGUUAUUCCCAUUGGUAAAGUUGAGUGCUACAUGAUGUAUUUCCAAGUUUUCAUCUGAAGACUUGCUUUUUCUUUUUGUAAUACUUAAGAUCAGCAAUUCAACAUUUUUUUUUAACAAAGACUCAAACUUUAACAUACCUGUCCAGAAUCAUGCCUUAUCCAAAACAUCAGACUCGUAUGCUACAUAAUAAAGAAUAUAAAUUAAAAUUUAUAAAAUUAAAAAUUAUAAAAUUAAAAUUUGUAUUCUUUAUUAAACAACACUAUCUGCAUCUCUAUAUGAAUGAGGGUGCUUUCCUGUUCAUUCUGACUCUUGUGGUCAUUUCUGAGACUUCCCAUUAUGUAAAGGGCCUUAUAAAUUACUGCCAUGCUGUAACUACUACCAUGCUGUCUGUGCCUUUAAUCUUUCAGAACAUUCUUCAAGAUUAUGGAAUGCAAGAGAUAAACUUGCUACCUUUGAAAAAAAUUAUGUAUUUUUUCCUGUGGUAGUUUUCCACCAGCUUUUUGGAAACUACCUCCUCUCACAUUUAUUUUGGUUAUCUUACAUGCAGCUGAAAAUGCUUUUAGUCAGCAAACAAAAUUCAGAUUACCCAACUUUUCCAAAAGAACUUAAUACGUGCCUUUUGAUUAAAGGCAGAAGAAACUGAAUGUAGAAGAAAAAGGAAGAUCGUGAAGGAUAAAACACAGUUGUUGCUUAUGAAGCUCUUGGCAUCCUACUCCUAGCAGACUUGCAGUGAUUUUAUAUAUGAAUGUCUCUUGAUCGUGUUGUCAUUUAUUGGUAUUCACGUUGCAGACAGAAAUGCAAAUGGGUGAUUUUGAACCCACAGUGAUCAUGACAGGUCAGGUAUUCACAACAAACACUGCCUCUAGAAAAUGAUAUAGGCAAAUCUCCAGGGUAAGUAUGUACAGAUUAGGUAGAGUUCGGGUAAAUUUGUUUGUUUGUUGGUAAAGCGGAGUUGCAGCUGACUUCUAUCACUGUGUGCAAAUUUGUUCCUGCUGGUUUGGUGUACUACUUCUUUAUCAGUGUUGAAGAGUGUAGAAACAGCCAUGAUUUCUGUACACAGGUCCACCUGGCUCUGUAUGCACAUCCUGAGGUUGGCCAAACCACUUUGGACAAAUACAGUGUCAUCCUUCUACUGCCUGACGCUUCUUCCUGGCGAUGCACACAUUAUGGACUUCCUGAGUCCAAGAUAGCAUUACAUUUUUCUCUUUAAUGAUAUAGUGGCCUCUUUUUCUUUUUUUCUUUUCUUUUAAGUAAGCAAAGGAAAAAAAAUAAAAGAACCCCAAAUACCUCAUUCUGAUUAUUCUGUUUCUAUGUCUUUUACAUGACUAAUGCUUGGGAUAUUCUUGAGCUUUGGUAUCAUGAAAAAUGGAGAACAAUAGAUUUCCUAUUCAGGUUUUCUGUAUUGCCCAGAAUUUUGUAGAGCACUGACCUGAUGUCCCUUUUUGCCAUGCUAGGUAAUUCUCUAUAGACUUGUUUUGUUGUUGUUGUUGUUGUUUUUUUCUCUUCACUUUUGUUUUUCUGCUAUAUCCAUUUUUAGAUAUGGUGAUCAGAACUGUGCAUGCCUUGUUUAAGAUGCGUAUCUAUUUACUGGGAAGAAAAUGCUUUCUGUUUUAUUCUCUGUUCUUAAUCUUUGCUAAUCAUCUGCUCAUUGUUUUGACCACUAAUGAGUUAUUUUCAAAAACCUAUCCACUAUAGUUCUGGGUUUUGUUUUUUUGUUUGUUUGUUUCUUAUUCAUAUACAGCUAGUUUAGAACUCAUUAGCGCGUACGGUUAAUUAAGGUUGUUUUUUCCCUCUGUGGAUCACUGUGCUUUAGCAACAUUGAAUUUAAUCUGCCCAUUUUACCAUCCAGCUGCUCAGUCUCCUCCUGCAACUGUUGUCAGUCCAUUUUAUUCUUUUACUGUGCUGAAUUAUUGCCAUCAGAGAUCUUUGUCAUAUAGUUCACCCUUUUCACAUAAUCUAUGAGUGUGUUGAACACAAAGAUAAUUAAUAGAUGCAAGCGGUAGCUUCCUCUACAGGUUGAAGACUGAUUGUUUUUAUGCCUUUUAUUUUGUAUCUCAACAUACUCUUAAUCCAUAACAGGACCCAUUUCUUAGAAAGAGCUUAGUCCUGUUAGUGUUAUGCAAGCCCAUUUUGGAAACCCCAACACGGUUCACUCCUGGCCACAUGCUUGGCGAUCCCUUCAAGGAACACCAAUAGGUUUGUGACUUCCUUCUUUUGGUUAUACUGAUCCUUCUCAUCAGAACGCUGAUGUGUCCUUUCUUGCUUCCCCUACUAUAAUCUUAAUCAACCUGAUCCCUACAGGCAGCAGAAUUACCAAACACCUGUUCCAUAGAUCUUCCCAUAGCUCUUUUCAGAAGAUGGUAUCACUUUCCUUUACUCUGAUUGCUCAUGUUGUAGGAAACACCACACCUAUCUAUUUCAAGAAGUGGUAUUGGAAAUCCUUAAGACCUGAAUGAAUACCAUCUGGGCUUCAUGAGUUAUUACUAUUUGUUUUAUCUAUUUGCCCUAUAUUUCUUAUACUGACAUUUCUAUUUCUCUUUUUUUUUUUUUCCAGCUGGCUGUAUGGCUGGGUGCCAAAACAGGCAAUUCCAUAUUCUUCUGCACUGUAAAAACAGAUGUAAAGCAUUGAUUUAGCAUUUCUGUACUGGCAUUAACUUUCUUGUUUAUUUCUCUUGCAUCUAUUUUGUUCUUAGUUUCUACAGGCUGAGAGAGUUUAAAAAAGUUGUCUGAAGCAGGGUUUUAAUAUGGCUUUAUCUUUAACCAUCUAGAAUUAAUGCUCUUUUCUAUUUUCUUUAUUUGGACAUGGCUUCUGCUUCUGGAUGGAUGCUUUUUUGCUAUUAAUAGCUUUCUUUAUUCUGCUGCUUGACCACACAGCAUUUUCAGCAAUCACGUGAGGGUCAUUUUUUAGGACAUAGUGAGCUCUAAGCCACUAGUCUAUCUUAACCAUGCUGUCAAAUCACCUGCAAGUACUUUGAUCCUAUAGGUGCUGAUUUUAGUGUUGUAUAUGUCUGUUUCCAAUACAUUAUUUUCUUUAUCGUGCCUACGUGGUUUCAGCAUAAACAGAAAAAAAAUCACAUAGCUGUUAUAACAAGCAGAUGAGCAAGUGUCAGCAAAUCAGUCUGGAUGAGGUGAAAAUCACUGAAUUUUGGGUGGCUGCUUUGCUCCCCUGGGGAAAGAGGUGGCUACUCUUGCACCUGGAGGACUGGGCAUUCUUUGAGGCCUCCCAUCGCUGACAGACCUCCAUGCUGCCCUGGUCACGUGAAGCAGGUGUUUCCACAUCCUUGCUGAGAGAUCAGCGUACUGUCAGGAGUUGUUUGGGGGGGGGAGGGAGGGGAGGAAAUCCAAUGGUUAGAAAUGAGAAUGGAAAGCUGAAUAACCCACAGAACCAUGGCUUGCUGUUCAUGCUUGCUAAGCUAAGGAGUCAAGAUUCAGAGCCAGUAAGUGUUUCGGAAAUGUUCUGUACUUUCUCCUUCUGAGUAAAAACUUUACUAUAUUGAUAGAAAAAGACCAAAGAUUUUGCAGCUUCUGGACUGGAGAGGAAUUAGGGGGUAUCUCUGCGUAGCUGUAUUAGUUGUCCAUGAACAGUGAAUGUCACCACUGUGACAAGGACAUUCAAUUUAAUUAUCUGAAAAUUAACACAAAUAGUUGAGGGACCCCUGAGAAAACAAACUGCAACUAAAAGCUAAUUGACAAAGAAUAGCAUAAAUUGACCUGUUUUCACUGAGCCUUACUUGUGAAGAUCAAAAGUGGGAAUGGCUCCUUCAUGAGGAGUUGGCAGUCGGGACAAUAUGGGAGACGUGACAGAGGCUAUAAAGGGUUGUGACCAGUGUGGGAUGACAGAAAGGGACCAACCAUUCAACAUGUCUUCUGUGGGCUAUUAAAUGAAGCGAGCAGGAGCAAGGUUCAAAGCAACCAAGAGGUUGGUCUUCACUUAACAGAUGGUUUGGGUUUCAUGUGUAAAGCAUAUUUAUAGGUGCUAAAAAACUACAUAAGUUGAAAGAGAGGUUGGACAAGUGCUUGGAGAAAAGACUUCAACAGAUCUAUGAGGUGCUGCUGCAGAAAAGCUAGAGAUAAGAGGAAAGUGUGUGUGUGUGUGUGUGAGCUCAGCGUGUGUCCACAAAAUAGCAAAAGUCGGAAAUUGUGCUGAAUUGUGUGAUAAAAUAAAGAAUGGAAAACAUUUCACAUGGAAAAGGUACAAACCAGGAUGCAGUUCUCUGCUGUUGAGGAGAUCUUCCUAAACUUUAAAACCUGUUUUUUUGUUGUUGUUGUUUGUUUGUUUUUUUAGGAAAUAUUUUAUAAAAUGAAGUUUGAAUUUAAUAAAAUAAAUUAAUCCAUUUGAAUUAAAAAGAAAAGUAGAAUGCUGAUGACCGUUCUAUUCAGAUAUUACUAUAAUAUAUAUAGCUCUUUCCAUUCAUACAUCUUGAUGUUUCUGAUAGCAACAGGCACGUUGUUUGAAAUCCAUGUGUCAUCAUUACAGACUACACUGAAUCAUUACAAGGCUUCAUCUGUGGCUUCGUCUACAGAGAUGAAUGCAAAGAAAAAAAGUUGUCUCUUACAGUUCUGCUGAAUAAACAUGGCCAGUAGAUACCACAGUCCAGUGCUUUCUGACCAGAUUCUUUUAAUGUUCCGUGUAAAGAAGAUUUGAUGUCAAAUCUACUCAUUAUUAAAUUUUAUUUAUUAUCAAAUUUACUUAGUAUUGGAUUACUUAUUUGGUUUAUUUGAUGUUACAUGUGAUUUUCAUUUAAAUGAGCAAUACGGGAAUGUAUUGAAAUGGUAACACAAGAGUGGUGCAAUAACUGCAAUAUACAGUUAAACCUCAAUACAGACGUGAUUCACACUGCCGGUCACUGUGUGUGCUCACCUUCACUACACUGUCCUCAGUCACUGAGGAGGCACGUGUGGGAUGAAACCAGCUCACAGAAUGGUAGAAUUAUUAAAGUUGCAAAAGACCUCUAAAAUCAUUUAGUCCAACCGUCAGCCCACGCCCACCAUGCCCACUAACCAUGUCCCUCAUUGCCUCAUCUUGAACAUCUACAGGGAUAGUGGUGGCCCUACCACCUCCCUGGCCAGCCUGUUCCAAUACCUCACCACUCUUUCAUUUGCAGAAUGAUUUUUCCUAAUACCCAACCUGAAUCUUCCCUGGUGCAACUUGAGGCCACUCUGUCUCAUCCUAUUGCUGUUACCAGGGAGAAGAGGCCAACUCCCACCUUGCCACAGCCUCCUUUCAGGCAGUCAAAUGAUUGCUCUCUUUAAAAUGUGUUUUAUUAGUUGUCCAGUUUUCAUGCAUCAUGUUGGGCUGAGCUACAUAUGCACUUUCCCUGCGUAGGUGGCUGUCUGGCUCAGGAAGAUGUUGCUCUUUGUUAACUGUCUCUAAGAACCUAAUGACUCACUAGUGCAGCUGUCUUGUCUUAAGCCAAGGUUACCUUCCUGUCUCCCUGGUAUUGAGAUAAGUGCAACUUUCUUUAUGGUGCAUUCUUCCCCAGGCUUACCGUUUUUCAUUCCAUUUUUGUUCCAUUUUUGUUCUCCUCUAAGCUCUCCCACACUGUGGGGGUGCUGGUAGGUCUCAGUGUGCCACUUGAGUGAUGAAAGAUGAGGCUUACUUACCCAUGUUGUUGUUCUUAGUAAAUUUUUACCAUUAGAAAAGCAUAACAGCUUUUAGUUAAAUUUCACUGUUUUAACAACAAUGUGAUACCUAUAAUACAGCUGUUGCAUCGUGCCAAUUCUUUUGAGUGUGUCAGAGCCCAUAGUCUUAUUGGGCACUAGGUGUCUCUUAUUUACUCUUUUCCAAAAGGCUGCCAGUUCAUUUGUAUUCUGAAUACAGUGCUCAACACAUUGCACUAGCUUGAGUCUUUAUUAUUAGAGGUACAUCAUAUACCACAGACGAAAAAAUAGCACCAAUUAAAAGGCCUAUUUGUUGAAUAUUGCUCUUUCCUAUACAAGCAACGGCACAACUUCCCUAGCAGGAACAAAGAAUUAGAACCUCUUAAUUUUCUUAAGAAAAAAAAAAGGGGGGGGAGAUAAGGGACAAAGCUGCUUUUGUUAUUUAUUAUGCCUUUGGGGAGAGAAGUCUAAAGUUUUCCUCCUUAACUGGCAGCAUAGUGUUGAGAAUUCGAACCUGGACAGACUCUUUCAGGUAAUUGACGAUGCAGCUAUUCUUUCUGGUAUGCUCAUAGCAGAAGAUUAAUAGAUGGAGUUGUACUUAAAAGUAUAUACUUUGCUUGGUAAGUAUGACUUCAUUUAAUUUUUUUAUUUUAGGACACACAGUAAUACAAAACACACAGUUGCAAUAAAUCCUCAAGCAUUUGAGAUAUACAUUUGCUAUGACUUUUAGCAUGCAUUUGACAUUUUCCUUCUGCCCAGCAGCAGUUUGUUAUAGCCUUUACACCAAGAAACACUGUCAGUGGGAGGUUAUCAGAUGCUAGAAGUGCUACCGCUGAUAGAUGCCAUCUGCAGAUAUUCCUUACAUUUCUUCCCUUUAUCUGCAUAUUCCGUCUCUGUUCACCCGGGGGGAAGAUAGAAGAUGGAUUAAAAUUGAUUGAGCUAAUGAGUUUUGGAAAAAGUGCUGAAAUAUACAUUUUCCAUAAAACAACGAAUGAAAUGCAUGCUGGCUGCAGUCUACCAAGGGUCUCCGAAAAUAGAAAUGCUCAGAUGCAAAUUUCUCCUUGAUUAUCACGUUAUUCUUGCAUCUUUUGUAGCACCUUCCUUUGUGAAACCUAGUAACUUGCAAAUAGUAAGGACUGAAGCAGCCAAGUUUUAAUUGUCCCUUGAGUGACUGUUCAUCUGUUUUAUAGAGGGAGCAUCUGAGACACCCAAAGCCCAUAAUCCUUGCUCCCAUGCCUUUGGCAAGGGUAGGGUUACAAUCUUGGUCCCUUGUCAACUAGAGCUACCAUCCCUGAUCCCAGUUAAGGUUUCUUAUUUCUGUCAGCUCUGAUUGACUCCCUGGGCACAUGUACUAAAAACUUCUUUGAACUGCAGUGCCCAGUGGCCACACAUCUCAACACAAGAACACAGCUUCCGCUCUUGAGGGUUUCCAAGACCCAAACGCGUAAAGCGCUGAGCAGGUUGCUCUGAUCCCAGAGCUGGCUUUGCCUCUGGUAAAAGCAUGGAUGAGGUAUCUCUUCCACCCACAUGAUCUACUGUGCUCUGAGAGCUUUGCAGAGCUCCAGGGGUAGUAGUGAAGGCUGUUCCUGCGUCUGACUGUGCUGGGGACAGAGCUGCCCAUGUGCCAUGGGCAUGCAGUGUCAACCCAUGCCCGCCCAUCUGCACCAUUGCUCUUUCUCUGGCUCCCAGGCUUUGGGCCAAUGUCACAAAAAAAAAAAAAAAGAAAAAAAAAAAAAAAGGAGGGAGAGAGAGAGAGAUAAGGUGACUUCUAAGGCAUCUUGUGUCAAGUGCAGUUGUCCUAGACCUGACAGACAUAGAUUGGCAUAGUCCAGCACAGGACAACCUGGGCUGAGAUUUCAGCAGUUGGCUGUAUUUGCCCUCUGUCCCUGUUGAUCUAUAAAAGGCUGAUAAAUUGUACUUGCCUACUUUAGGAGUGAAGAGUUUAUUAUUAGAUUGCUAUAUUAUAUGUCCUUAUUGAGAUUUUAAAAAGAGGGGCAGAGAUAAGCUCAACAUAAAUGCAGGGCAUGAGCGUUUAUUCCAUCCCAUCAGUACUUGUGUUUUUGCCUGUCUACAUCACAGCCAGCUGUUACUGAGAAAGUGAGAGCUACCAGAUAACGUACUCCCAACCAUGGGCUUUCCAAGUAGCCUGCUGGUGCCGUCUCACAUCUGCUGGGACAGGGUCCUUGAAGAAAGCCCAGCUCUGAAGCCACUUCACCACAAAUGCAUGGACCAUGAGCAUUCAACUACACCAGAAGGAGACCAGGCUGAUGGCAUGGCAAGAGGGCUGGGUGCUGAGUUGCACAAAGAGAUCCUGACCGUUGUCUAAAGAUGAGUUUGGAUGUGAAAGCAUAUCACAUGUCUCUGAGGGAUGCUGUAUGCUCUCCUCCUGGGCUGCAGGCCACUCUGCAGCAGGAGUGCACUUCCAUCCAAAAGCAGAAGCAGGAUGAAGGCCUGGGAAGCCCACCCUGUGGUAUGUGGAAACAGUGGCAUAGGAGACCAGCACUGAUCAGAUAUCAUCCUUUUUUCUUCAAAUUACAGAUUCUGCAAACCUUUACCUGGUGCCCAUCAUGAAAGAUAACUGACCAAUAAUCUAAGACCAUGCCUUGGGAUUCUGAUCUUGUUUGCUGUUUGUUGUACUCCGAGUGCUGUCUUUGGGGGCUUGUAUUUCUUAUUCAAUGAGUGUGUGGCUGCAUUACAAGUCUCUUCACGUUUUUCCAGUUAAACUAAAUGACUAUCAUUUCCUCCUCCUCCCUCCCCCACCUGACUGUUGUUGUUUAAUUAACCAUAACAUGCUGCUCUUCAGUGGGUGUUUAUAGCUAGAUAAAUGUCAGUAAUAUGCUGUAGUGUAAAGUCUUUUAACUGGGACAGUCAGGGU
ensembl:lncRNA